UGCUCGGUCUUGGGAGCCCUCCCGACUCUAUCUCUGUGUCUUUCUUUUUCCUUAGGCUCGGUCUUUGUGGGCCCUCCCGUCUCUCUGUUUCUUUUUUCUCAAUCCUCAAGUCCCCACUCAGGUCUUGUUCGACAGGUUGCGGCCGGACCUCGACAUUCCAUCUCAUUUCCCUUUGGGGUUGCUGUAGGAGCAGCGGGACAGAAGGUGCCCCAAAAGCCCUUUUCUCUGGGCUGGGAGCAGCAGGAGGGAUGGUGACCAGGAAGCCCCGUUCUCUGGACCAGGAGCAGUGGAUCGGCGGCUCAGAAGCUUCUACCUCUGGACAGUGAGAUGUUGAGAUGUAAAACAAAGUGUCCCAUCACACUACUACAUUUUCCAUCUGAAACACCUUGUAGAUUUGAACCAAUGAAGAAAGGAAAGACAAGAUGAUCGAGAGGAAAGCCCAUUCACAGAGCAUCCUUGUGGCCAAAAUUCUUGCAAUAAAUGCAAAGCACACAAGAUGGAAUGUCCCCUUAUGUCACAGCUGAAAACUGUAACAUAAAUAUUUUUGUCAGUUGGCUUUAUUCUACAGAUGUUUUUAAGAAUUUGUUGUUGAAACAGCCAAUCCGCUCCUCAAUAAAAAAACUUUUGGCAGUA